rnacentral:rRNA from 1 species
AGUCCGCAACCCGACUCCGUGAAGCUGGAUUCGCUAGUAAUCGCGCAUCAGCCAUGGCGCGGCGAAUACGUUCCCGGGCCUUGUACACACCGCCCGUCAAGCCAUGGAANCCGGGGGCGCUUGAAGUGCGUUGCCGCAAGGCGCGCCCUAGAGCGAAACCGGUGACUGGGGCUAAGUCGUAACAAGGUACC